rnacentral:rRNA from 1 species
GAUGAACGCUAGCGGCAGGCUUAAUACAUGCAAGUCGAGGGGCAGCACAGAUAGCAAUAUUGGGUGGCGACCGGCAAACGGGUGCGGAACACGUACACAACCUUCCUUUUGGUGGGGGAUAGCCUUUGGAAACGGAGAUUAAUACCCCAUAAUACAUUGAGACAGCAUUGUUUUGAUGUUAAAGAUUUAUCGCCGGAAGAUGGGUGUGCGUAUGAUUAGGUAGUUGGUAGGGUAACGGCCUACCAAGCCGACGAUCAUUAACUGGUGUGAGAGCACGACCAGUCACACGGGCACUGAGACACGGGCCCGACUCCUACGGGAGGCAGCAGUAAGGAAUAUUGGUCAAUGGACGGAAGUCUGAACCAGCCAUGCCGCGUGGAGGAUGAAGGCCCUCUGGAUUGUAAACUUCUUUUAUAGGGGGCGAAAAAAGGGAAUUCUUUCUCGUCUGACGGUACCCUAUGAAUAAGCACCGGCUAACUCCGUGCCAGCCGCCGCAGUAAGAC